rnacentral:rRNA from 1 species
UACGUAGGGUGCGAGCGUUAAUCGGAUUUACUGGGCGUAAAGCGUGCGCAGGCGGCCCGUUAAGACAGGUGUGAAAUCCCUGGGCUCAACCUAGGAAUUGCGCUUGUGACUGGCGGGCUCGAGUACGGUAGAGGGGGGUGGAAUUCCUGGUGUAGCAGUGAAAUGCGUAGAGAUCGGGAGGAACAUCCGUGGCGAAGGCAGCCCCCUGGGCCUGUACUGACGCUCAUGCACGAAAGCGUGGGGAGCAAACAGG